rnacentral:lncRNA from 1 species
AGCGAGGUAAGGAAAUUUUAGCAACCUAGUCCCGUGCAGAUUUGAAAAUUAUUGAUAAAACUUUUGGUGACUUAGUUCUUAAAAGAUCCCCUCAUUUUGAUUCGAUUAAUUGUUAUUCUUCGAUUGUGGUUGAUAAAGUCAUUACGAAAGGAAACGUGAGUUGUUAUUCUCUUGAUUUGCCUUGUGUAAAAUCCGUGAAUUUGUACAAACCCGUUUUGGAGAAUAAAAAAAGUUUUGAAUGUAUGUUGGUAUGUAUUCGAAAAUCGUCAUUGUUUAACUUGAUUGGUUUAAUGAAAUCUUUGUUACACUUCGGCAUGACUAAUCAAAAUCAAGUUUUUAAACCUGGAAUCUGUUUUGGUAUAUUUUGUUGGAAAAUCAAGCAUCAAAAUAGCAAAAUUGGACCAAGAUUCGGUUUCUUGAUUUUCUUGAAAACAAGAAAGUGAAUCUUGAUUUUCUUUUUCCUUCGUGUACGUAUCUAAGGCCUUGCUAAUAAAUUCUUGAAUGGUUCCAUUUAGUUUUGAAUGCAUUUGUCUGGCCUUUGACCUCAUUAUUGGGCCUUGUGGUAAUUUGGGCCCAUCACGUCCUUGAGCUUGAAUUGGGCCUUUGUGACUCGUAUCAUUCCCCCUUCCCCAAAAAGAUUCAUCCUCGAAUCUGAAAAAUCAAAUGGACUCGACUUUCCUCGAUCGAACGGGACUAAUGGCAAUUGAGUCCACUGAAAAGAAUAGCCAUGAGUUAGUAAAUAACAACGCAAACAAACUUGUAGUCCAACAAUAAGCAUAAUAAAGCAAGUAUAAUGCAUGCGAAUGGACAGAUUCAGAUAACCAUGCAAAUAAGCUAAUUUACUCGCCAAUGCCUCGUCAAAUAUUCGAAACAAAGAUGGACAUGUUUUAAGGCAUUCAAUCAUCUCAAAUUGUUUCCACAAACCAUGAAUAAAUCGUGAGUAAUAAAUCAAAUGGUAAACGUAAUCGUCACAAGUAGGUAUUUGAAAAGGUUCACACAGUUCAUAGAGUUGCACAAUCAUACCAUGCAUUAAUCGACGGACUAUAGAUUCACUCACACAUGCAUCAUAAAAAUUAUCAAGAACAAUAAUCUUUUUAUCAACCAUCAAAACAGAUAGAUCAUCAAUAAAUAAAAUAGGACAGUCAAGCACAUUUCGAUCUAAGUGUUUUACAAAAAUUAAAUCAUCAACACAACCUUUGUCACUAUCCGAGGAGUACAAAAGUGUUUCAAAAGUUUAAAGCAUCUUACCUUUAUAAGCAGAAGAAUAAGGGUCGAUUUUACCUUUUCCAUUUAAUACAAACCUUCGCUCAUCGGGGGCAUAGUGUAGUCGAAGCUCUGUUGUUGAGUUAACCUUUGUCAAAUGGAACUCAAACUUCAUGUACAACCACAGAAACUGUUUAAGGCACGAAUAUAAAUUGAAAACAAAUUUGGAAAAUUUCGUUACCUUUUUCAAAAACCAAGUAUCAAAACAAUAGAAAGUAUUUGCACAGAAUAGAUGAUGCUUGAUUUUCCAACAAAAUAUACCAAAACAGAUUCCGGGUUUAAAAACUUGAUUUUGAUUAGUCAUGCCGAAGUGUAACAAAGAUUUCAUUAAACCAAUCAAGUUAAACCAUGAGGAUUUUCGCAUACAUACCAACAUACAUUCAAAACUUUUUUUAUUCACCAAAACAGAUUUGCACAAAUUCGCGGAUUUUACACAAGGCAAAUCAAGAGAAUAACAACUAACGCUUCCUUUCGUAAUGACUUUAUCAACCACAAUCAAAGAAUAAAAAUUAAUCGGAUCAAAAUGAAGGGAUCUUUUAAGAACUAAGUCACCAAAAGUUUUAUCAAUAAUUUUCAAAUCUGCACGGGACUCGGUUGCUAAAAUUUCCUUACCUCGCUUACCUUCGGGCUCAUGUAGUGUGAUUUCAUCUUUGCCUAUGUUGAUCGUAUGAAAAAGUCUUUCAUUUGAGAGGUAUUGAAGUUGAAAGUUAUCUUUCAAUAUUUCAGGAACCUGAAAAGUAGCAACACAAGAAAAAUUCAUAUCUUGGUUAGUGGGAACAUUCCUCACUACCCUUUCCUCGCCUUUUUCUUUUGUUUCUUUUUUUCGUCUCUCAAUCUCAUUCCAUAUUAGCUCAUUUUCUUGCAUCAACAUCUCUUGCCUCUCUUUUCUUUUUAUUUCUUUUUGUGCCUUCCUUUCAUUACAAGAUAGAGAUGUUACAAAUGAAUCAGAAUGUAAAGACUCUCGUUGGGUAUGUACGGAAUGACUUGCAUACGAACAAUGAUCCCCUUGGAAAACUUCACUCUCGAAACUUGCUUUGCAUCGUCUUGAAUUCCUCAUUGAAUAGGAGUCAUGAUAUGAAUCUCUUCUCGAAUAUUCGUUGGAUGUUCGUCUUCUUGGCACUCUCAUUUCUGCCUUUUCACUUAAGUUAAGUUGUCCUCGUUGGGCUCUUUUCUCCACUCGCAUCUCAUUGAUAGUAGCACUCAAUGUUCGAAGUAUGGCAGCCCAUUCGUCUAAUUGUUGUUGGAUCAUUUUAAAUUUAUCAUGGACAUCAUUAUGGUCAUCAUCAACUUGACCAACUCUAGACAUUUUUUUCUUUUUUUCAAAAACUUGCAAAACAAACACUCAACACUCAAAAAGGAAAAUUAGCAAACCUCACCGUUAAUCACUCAAAAAGGAAAAUCAAAUUCUCAAAGAGGUAGAAUUUAGUCUUGUGAGUUCUUUAGUAGAGUCUAUAUCAAUCAAUUAGAAAGUGUAUGAACCGAAACUACCAAAGAAUCCUAAUUUGCACUAGGAGUCCAGAAAUAACGAGACACCAAUUGAUUUGUGUCGCACCGAGGAAGAAUUGUGCACACUUUUAAAUCCUACUAACACAAGAAACAAGAAGGUGUUAGAUAUUCUAAAGGAAUAAUAAAGGCAAAACAAAUGAAAACCUACAGCUAAGAAUCAAUAAAAAUUGAUGAAACCCAAAAACUCGAAAAACCGCGGAGUAACUUGACAACUUCGUUCGAGGUGUUCCCGAUCUCCAAAAAUCACGAAAUUUAAACUGUAAUGUCCUUAAAUAUUUUAUAUUGGAUCUGAAAAGUUUCGGCACUAAACUCAACCCGCUGAAUAUUUUUUUAAUAUUUCUUUAUUACGUAUUUUUUAAUUUUUUUGACUUUUUCUACUGAUUUUUUACGGGAAAUAUUUUUUAAUAAUCUAUCACAGUGGCACAAAUAUUCAUAUAAAAUUUAAGACCAAUCGGACAACGUUUACCCACUCAAAUUAGUUUUUUCCAAAACCUUUUCUGGGUAAAAAUUGUUGUUUAAUGUUUUUAAAAGGAGAUCAGUUUAGAAAUCAACCAAAAACACCCAAAACCGCCAAAAUCUGAUACCAAAUCAUAGAGGGUUGCGCGCGGACCAAGAUCAAGUUGCCAAGUCACGGAAAAGUCCUACGAGAUCUAUAAACAAAUUGGCUGCAACGAAACCAGAAAACAGAGAACUAAACUUGUCAGAUCAAGAAACCCAAAUCGAAUAGAAUAAGAAAUACUUGGGCGGCAAGAAAUCUGGAAAUUAUGAAUGAAGAACGUUUCUUGAUGCCUUAGGCCAAAUCAGAUCUUGAAGUUUGGAAAGGCUGAAAUGCAACAAGAAGAAUUAAACCCAAGUUAAUCAAUAAAUCAGCACAAACAGAAAUUAAUAAAGAAGAAUGAAUAGCAAGAAAAUAAAGAAAGUCCUAAGAAGCCUUGAAAUCGAUAAAGAUUUCACAACUCCCUUCAAACGGCUCUAAUCUCCCCUCCAAUGAAGAACAAAGGCAAGAAGAAGGCUGAAGAUGGCUCCCACAAUCAAAAAGAUUGUUAAAACUCCUUCUAAAGAAAACUUAAGAGAAAAUUCUUGUAGAACUCAAAGAGAAUUUUCACUCAACAAAACAAAUCUGAUUUCAAUGUAUUCUUCAAGUGUAAUAUGUAUAAGGGUGGCUGGCCAAGCCACACCUAUAGGCCUUCUAACUAUUUUCCUAGUCCUAAUAGGAAAACUAAAAAAAAAACCUAAUUUUUUUUUACUUUCAAGGGGAAAUUCGGCUAAGGACUUUAAAUGGGCCUCUUGGACUGAAUUUUUACAUAGAAAUAUAUUCAUAAAGUCUAAAAAUAAAAACUAAGUAUUUAAAGAAUUAAAACUUAACAAAUUGGGCCACUUUGACAAUUUGACCUGAUUUUCAAGUAAGUCUAAUUUAAAUUUCUUGAUUGGGCUUGGAACAUCUUAUUGGGCCGUUUCUUUAAGCAUUUGGGCUUGUAAGCCGUUCUCUUCUGAAAUUGGUUCGUUGAUGCUCGUAACUGAGAUCCAAUGCGCCUUAGCUGCAAGAUUUAGUUUUUUGGACCAAGAUUUCCAAGAUUUGAAAUCUUAAUUUUCUUGAUUCUUGAAAAUGCUCAAAACAACAAAAUUGGACCAAGAUUCGGUUUCUUGAUUUUCUUGAAAACAAGAAAGUGAAUCUUGAUUUUCUUUUUCCUUCGUGUACGCAUCUAAGGCCUUGCUAAUAAAUUCUUGAAUGGUUCCAUUUAGUUUUGAAUGCAUUUGUCUAGCCUUUGACCUCGUUAUUGGGCCUUGUGGUAAUUUGGGCCCAUCAUGUCCUUGAGCUUGAAUUGGGCCUUGUGACUCGGAUCAGAGAUGAUGUUUCCUACUCCAAAGCUGCCAUUUAUUUCUUUCACAUUGCUGGAUUCAUUUUGGCUGUUCGGUUCAUGGUGUUCACACUCAAGGACUCUUCAAAGGUGAGCAUUCACACUUCAAAUGACUGUCCAAUUUUCUAUUAAUUGUUGGUCACUUUUCAGCCAAAAAUUGCAUCUUAAAUGAGCUUAUUUAAGCUCAUUGGCCAAACCUAGCUGAUAGAGGGUUGCGCGCGGACCAAGAUCGAGUUGUCAAGUCAAGGGAAACUCCUACGAAGAACGCUAAACACUUGGAUCUGAAAAGAAGCAGAAAGAACAAAUCUUAGAAUUUCCAGAUCUGAAAUAAAAACUCUAAAACAACAAAGAAUAAACCAAGAAUCGAAACACUUAUUAUUAGGGAAUUCGGAAGUCAAGAACACGUGAAUAAACUUCAAAGAAGUCUCUAAUUCAACCGAAUCAUUCAAUUGCACCAAAACAGAAAGUUAAUUCAUCAGAUAACAAAAAGAACGAAAAUUGAUUUAGAAUGAGGAAUCGUGCAGCAAGAAAGAGGGAAAUUAUGGAUUAAGAAUGAUCUUUGAUAAUCAAGAAUGAUUAUGAGCUUCCCAAACCAAAUCUGAAAAGAUUAACAUCCAAAACAGCAAAUCAAACUCCAAAUUCCAGCAAACCAAAUUUAAUCAGGAUUGUGAUGAAUAGACGACAAGAUCAAUGGAAAAGAUGAAUUAAUGAUCGAUUCUUAGAGCCAAGAAGGGUGCCGAUCAGUUUCUUUAAUGUUGAAAAAGGUUGGAAUCGCAACAAGAAAUCUUAAACAAGUUAGAUAAUGAAAUCGACACAAGCAGAAAUUAAAAAGAGAUUGAACAGCAAGAAAAUAAAGAUAAAGUCCUAAGAAGCCUUGAAAUCCCGAAAGAUUUCACAACUCCCUUCAAAUGGCUCUAAUCUCCCCUCCAAUAAAGAACAAUGGCAAGAAAAAGGCUGAAGAUGGCUCCCACAAUCUAAAAGAUUGUUAAAACUACUUCUAAAGAAAACUCAAGAGAAAAUUCUUGAAGAACUCAAAGAGAAUUUUCACUCACAAACAAAUCUGAAAAUUUAAUGUAAUUCAAGGUGUUUUCUAAGGGUGGCCAGCCAAGCCUUAAUGUAAGCCUUCAAACUAUUUCCUAUCCCUAUUAGAAAAACUAAAAAAAAUAAAACCUAAUUAACUUCAAGGGAAAUUCGGCCAAGGCUUUUAAUGGGCUUCUUGGGCCGAAUUUUUACAUAGGAAUAAAAAAUAAAAAUUUAAACUAAGUAUUUAAAAAUAAAACUUUACAAAUUGGGCCACUUUAAUAAUUUGGCCUGAUUUUCAACAAAGUAUGAUUUGAACUUCUUGGUUGGGCUUGGAACAUCUUAUAGGGCCCUGACUUCAGAAACUUGGGCUUCUAGUUCGUCUCCUACUGAAAUUGGUUCGUUGAUGCUCGUAACGAAGAUCCAAUGCGCCUUAGCUGCAUGAUUUGGUUUCUUGGACCAAGAUUUCCAAGAUUUGAAAUCUUGAUUUUCUUGAUUCUUGAAAUUGCUCCAAACAACAAAAUUGGACCAAGAUUUGGUUUCUUGAUUUUCUUGAAAACAAGAAAGUGAGUCUUGAUUUUCUUUUUCUUUCAUGUACGCAUCUAAGGCCUUGCGAACAAAUUCUUAAAUGGUUCCAUUUAGUUUUGAACGCAUUUGUCUGGCCUUUGACCUCAUUAUUGGGCCUUGUGGUAAUUUGAGCCCAUCACAUUCCUGAGCUUGAAUUGGGCCUUUAUGACUCGUAUCACAAGUUCUUGAAGACAAGGGCCAAUAAGAUGUUCUAGGCCCAAUCAAGAAAUUUAAAUUAAACUUAGUUGAAAAUAAGACCAAAUUGUCAAAGUGGCCCAGUUUGUUAACUUUUAAUUCUUUAAAUACUUAGUUUUCAUUUUUAGACUUUAUGAAUAAAUUUCUAUGUAAAAAUUCAGUCCAAGAGGCCCAUUUAAAGUCCUUGGCCGAAUUUCCCCUUUAAAGUAAAAAAAAAAUUAGGUUUUUUUUAGUUUUCCUAUUAGGACUAGAAAAAUAGUUAGAUGGCCUAUAUGUAUGGCUUGGCCAGCCACCCUUAGACACGUUACACUUGAAGAUUACAUUGAAAUUAGAUUUUUUUUUGUUGAGUGAAAAUUCUCUUUGAGUUCUCCAAGAAAUUUCUCUUGAGUUUUCUUUAGAAGGAGUUUUAACAAUCUUUUUGAUUGUGGGAGCCAUCUUCAGCCUUCUUCUUGCCAUUGUUCUUCAUUGGAGGGGGAGAUUAGUGCUGUUUGAAGGGAGUUGUGAAAUCUUUCUCGAUUUCAAGGCUUCUUAUGACUUUAUCUUUAUUUUUCUUGCUGUUCAAUCUUUUUAAUUUUUUGCUUGUGUCGAUUUCAUUAUCUAACUUGUUUAAACUCUCUUGUUGCGUCUCCAGCCCCGUUAAAACCGAACCUAUCCAUCUCCAAAACCAAUCCAUCUUGUGAAGCCAUUUUAAUUACUUCCGCUCAAGCAUUUCCAUAAAGCUAUCUUCAAUUUAACAACGAACGCAACUUCUCGUCGACGAUCGGGCACUUAAGUGAAUCGACUCAACCAACUGAGCCGGAUCACAUCAUUUACUUUGAACUUGUGUGCAUCACGUAAAUCUCGAAUUGUGACUGGGCCAUGAGGAAAUACGUCGACAACUUCCAAAGGUCCAGACCAACGUGAACGCAAUUUACCUGGGUGCAAAUUGAGUCGAGAAUUCAAUAAUAAAACUUGUUCACCCGCGAUAAAUUGUUGCUGUACAAUAAUCUUGUCAUGCCAUCAUUUGAUCUUUUCCUUAUAAAUCACAACGUUUUCAUAGGCAUUUCUCCUAAUCUCCUCUAGUUGAGUGAUAUCUAACAGCCUUUUCUUUCUAGCCACUUCAUAGUCCAUGUUCACUUGCUUAAUUGCCCACAUUGCUUUGUGUUCCAAUUCAACUAGAAAGUGACAUGUUUUCCCAAAAACCAAUUGAUACGACGACAUCCCUAAUUGAGUUUUGUGUGUUGUCCGUAAUGCCCAUAAAGCGUCAUCCAAUUGAAUAGACCAAUCUUUCCUCGAAGGGUUUACAACAUUCUUUAGAAUGUUCUUAAUUUGUCAAUUUGAUACUUCAACUUGUCCAUUGGUUUACGGAUGGUAAGUAGUAGCCAUUCUAUGAUUAACUCUAUAUCUCUUCGGUGUGGUUGUCACUUGGUUGCAAUGAAAGUGUGUACCCUAAUCACUAAUCAAUUCAUUUGGUGUGCUGAAACGGGUGAGUAUAUGCUUGUGAAAAAAAUUUAGCACUGUCUUUGCAUCAUCCUUUGAAACUGCAACAGCUUCAACCCACUUCAAGACGUAGUCAACAACUACUAAUAUAUAAAGAUUUUAAAAUGAACUCGGAAAUGGUCCCAUAAAAUCCAUAACCCAAAUGAUAGAGGGUUGCGCGUAGACCAAGAUCGAGUUGUCAAGUCACGGAAAACUCCUACGAAAGCUAUAGACAACUCAGAUCUAAAAUGAAAUAGCAAAACUAAUUUAGAAUCAAUUAGAUCUGAAACGAAAAUAUCCAAAUCAAUAAAAGAUCAACCAAGAAUUAAAAACACUUAGGAAUAGCUAAACUUGGAAGCCAAGAACAUGAAAUUGAAUUCAAGCUAGGUUCCAAACAGCCGAAUCUGAAAAGAAGAACACAAAACAGCAAGUUAAUUUCAAAAAAAACUCAGCAGAUCACGAAAUCAACUAGAUCUAGGGUUUGGAUGGCAAUAAAGAGAGCUUUAUGAAAUCAAAAUGGUUCUUGUUGUCCAAGGUUGGUACUGAAUAGAUUCUUGAAGGUUGAACGGGGCUGGAGACGCAACAAGAGAGUUUAAACAAGUUAGAUAAUGAAAUCGACACAAGCAGAAAAUUAAAAAGAUUGAGCAGCAAGAAAAAUAAAGAUAAAGUCCUAAGAAGCCUUGAAAUCGAGAAAGAUUUCACAACUCCCUUCAAACAGCUCUAAUCUCCCCUCCAAUGAAGAACAAUGGCAAGAAGAAGGCUGAAGAUGGCUCUCAUAAUAAAAAAGAUUGUUAAAACUCCUUCUAAAUAAAACUCAAGAGAAAAUUCUUGGAGAACUCAAAGAGAAUUUUUACUCAACAAAAAAAAUCUGAUUUCAAUGUAUUCUUCAAGUGUAAUGUGUAUAAGGGAGGUUGGGCAAGCCAUACAUAUAGGCCUUCUAACUAUUUUCCUAGUCCUAAUAGGAAAACUAGAAAAAAAACCUAAUUUUUUUUACUUUAAAGGGGAAAUUCGGCCAAGGACUUUAAAUGAGCCUCUUGGACUGAAUUUUUACAUAGAAAUAUAUUCAUAAAUUCUAAAAAUGAAAACUAAGUAUUUAAAGAAUUAAAACUUAACAAAUUGGGCCACUUUGACAAUUUGGCCUGAUUUUCAACUAAGUUUAAUUUAAAUUUCUUGACUGGGCUUGGAACAUCUUAUUGGGCCUUGUCUUCAAGAACUUGGGCUUGUAAUCCGUUCUCUCCCGAAAUUGGCUUGUUAAUGCUCGUAACUGAGAUCCAAUGUGCCUUAGUUACAAGAUUCGGUUUCUUGGACCAAGAUUUCCAAGAUUUGAAAUCUUGAUUUUCUUGAUUCUUGAAAUCGCUCAAAACAGCAAAAUUGGACCAAGAUUCAGUUUCUUGAUUUUUUUGAAAACAAGAAAGUGAAUCUUGAUUUUCUUUUUCGUUCGUAUACGCAUCUAAGGCCUUUGUGACUCGUAUCAUUACCCCCUUCCUCAAAAAGAUUCGUCCUCAAAUCUAAAAAAUCAAAUGGAGAUAAGUCAGCCACAUUAAAAGUAGAACUUACAUUGUACUCACUGGGUAGGUCAAUUUUGUAUGCAUUAUCAUUGAUCUGCUCGAGUACUUGGAAAGGCCCAUCGCCUCUUAGAUCCAACUUGGUCUUUCUUUUUGUAGGAAAUCGUUCUUUCCUCAUAUGGACCCAAACCCAAUCUCCGAGUACUAAGUCCAUUUGGUGUUCUAUCCCACGUAAAGGUGGUAAACCUUUAGGGGCCUCACUAAAAACAUCCUCAUAAUCCUGCAAAAGACAUUGAAACACACUAGGAAAAUUUUCGUUAAUGUUAGAUAGAGAUAAAUAGUUUUUCCUAAACCUCACAAGAAUAUAAGGUUGUUUAUUGAGUAGGGCUCUCCGCACAUCUUUUUUGUUGCAAUUAAAAUUUUCACUCUAGUUUACCACUUGCGGAUGCACUCACCUUUGGACCAUUUAAAUUUUGACUUUUUUCACUACUAGCCUCUUUUCUCUCUGUCUCUUUUAUUUGUCCUGUCUCCCUUACCCCCUCACAAAAUUUAUCAUUUUUAAUUGAUCUUUAUAUACAUAAUUGGGAUUUAAAGGAACAAAAGUGAAUUUUCGACCUUUAAACAUAAGAGAGUAUCUAUUGAGCUUGCCUUGGUGUGUAACAUCACGAUCAAAUUGAUAAGGCCAUCUAAGGAGCAAGUGUGUUGCAUGCAUUGGGACCACAUCACACCAUACCUCAUCCUCGUAAUUCUCGAGCUUAAAAGUAAUCAAGGACUAUUUUGUAACUUUAACUUUUGAGCAUUUAUUAAGCCACUAAAGGUGAUACGGCUUAGGGUGCUUGGUACAAGGUAACUUUAAAGAAUCCACCAAAUAACUGCUAAUCACAUUCGAACAACUCCCACUAUCAAUAAUAAGUGAACAUAAGUUACCUUUUAUAAAACACCUAGAAUGGAAAAUAUUGGUCCUUUGGCUAUCAAAAUCAUCUCCCAUUUGGAUGUUAAGGGUGCGGCAGACUACCAUCUUAUUUUUUUCUCUUUUUUUUUGAAAUACCUACAAAAUAAAUGAUACGCUGGGUAAAUAAUUCAACCUCCAUAAUUGGUUGUGCAACAUUUCAUUGCGUCGGGAUAUAGAACCGGUGCGCUGACACCUAUCACAUUGAUUUACAAAAUUAUGGGUGUCUUUGAAUAAUGUCAGCCAGUAGAAUCCUGAUUGGAGAACUUUAGCAACAGUUGUCAUACCACCAAAAGAACCUCCAUAAGGAGCAUCAUGAAAAUGCUUCAAGAUUGAAAGCAUCUCCUCUUCCAGAACACAACGUUGAAUAAUGUUGUCAUUGCAUACCUUGAAUAAAAAUGACUUAUUCAAAUGAUAUUUCACUACAUCAUGAAAAAUCUUUCUUUUUUAUGGCCUGUGACACCCAAUGGGAGUUUUUCACAUACUAGAUAAUUAACAAAAUCUGCAUACCAAGAAGUUGUAUCUACAGCAAAUAACUUCUCAUCUGGGAAUGCUCGACAAUUGGAAGUAUGUUUCCAUCUUCACUACCAACUGCCAAUCGGACAGAUGGUCUGCAACUUGAUUUUCCCUUACGAUCUUUUAUCUCAAUGUCAAAUUCUUGCAACAAUAAUAUCUAGCAUAUCAGUCUUGGUUUGGCAUCUAUUUUCGCAAAAAGAUAUCUCAACACUGAGUGAUUAGUGAAUAUAGUAACCUUUGCGCCGAAAAGAUAUGAACAAAACUUGUCAAAAACAAAGACUACAACCAGCAAUUCUGAUACGAACUCUUUUCAGAAAUGAUUCGAGUCAUUUAGAUUGCCCGAUCGUGAAUUGAGUAAGGAUAGAUUCAUUUCAAGUUAAAUGAAACAAAAUAGGAUAAAUGACUUCAAACAAUGGUAGUAGGUAAAAUGGUUAAGUAAAAUAAUGGAUAAUUGGCUAAGAUCGAGAAUGAACCAACAAUAUUGGCUUGUUGACCUGAGUCUCAAAAUGGCUCUUAGGUGAAAACAAAUAGCAAGGAACCUUGACCCACUAUCAAAUGUGAUUGGAACCAAAGGUAUAAUGAACACCACAUCAAAAGGUGAUAAGUUCAGUUUAGCAAAGGAAGGGAUGACACCACAAGAAAACUUGAUAAGUCAAUUCAGUCCCGAAAUGAACAAGAAGAAUUGGAAAUCUCACAAGUUUCAAUUUUAACAUAAAUUCAGCAAAAAGUCUUUUCACAAUGAGCUGAUUACAAUAUUUAUAGUGCUAGAGAAGGCCUAGAUGAAAGGUCACAAUUGUUCAGCUUAAAUGAGUUAAUAAUGAGCUGAAAUAAAACUUAAUCACUAAGCUCAAACUCUUUAAAUUCUAGGCCUAAAUAACAACCACUAUUAAUAAAACUCAAUGUCCUAAUUCAGCUAAUUCAAUAAGCUUGAAUGUUUAAGUUUUUUCCUUGGUCAGCCGAAUAGUCACCAGCAAAUUCAUGAUAUUUUUGGCACACUAACAGACCAUGGAGUGUUCUUAAAGAAGCAAUCAGUUAUAAAGCUUGUAAUUACUCCUUUGUCCAUUGCUAUUCUCGAACAGCUCCUUGAAGAAGAUGGAGAGGUUGCCGAUUUUAAUGAUGCUCAUUACUCUCCUUUUUAUUGUUGUAACAACCCCUUGAAUGUAACCAAUGUUAGCUGAAUAGUUGCAUUUAUCACUUUGUAAUAGCCCUUGUAUAUAACUGAUUUCAACUAAAAAGUCACCUACAAGCAAUUCUUAACAAACUCAUUAAAUCACAUUUAAACACACUAAACUUAAUAAACUUAAUUAAUAAGUUGUAAAUAAACACAUUAAACACUUAACUUAUUCCAGCAACUAAAUAAACUAAGAUAAGCAUUAAAUUCAACAAUUAAGUAACUAAAAUGAGUUAAAUAAAAGAAAGUCCAAUAACUCAAUUACUAACUAAGAUAAGUUUAAUAAAGUCCAGCAACUCAUUUAUUAACUAAGAUGAGUUUAUUUAAAUUAAAGUUCAGCUUGCAAUAAAUUGCAAAUGACGCUUGAUGAGUUGAACCAAGAACGUUUGCAGGGCGUGUUCGUAUCAAAUUCUUUCUUCGUGGUGGUAUAAUUGAAUUGAGCCUCUGUAAGAGUUUUGCUAGCAUAAUAGAUGGUGUGAAAUAUUUUUACCUUUUGUUGUCCUAGAAUCGCACCCACAGCAAAGUCGCUUGCAUCACACAUAACUUCAAAAGGUUGAGACCAAUCUGGUGCAACGACAAUAGGUGCAUUCACUAGUUGCUGUUUUAACUGAAUAAAGGCAUCUAGACAUGCAUCGUCAAAGAAGAAUUUUCGAUUCUAUUCCUGAUACGAUCUCACUUACGGAAUGUAAUUGAGUCAUUUGAAAGCCCGAUUGAAAAAUUAAGCAGUUCUCAUUUUAGUUAGCAAAUGGAUAUAUUUCAAGAAGAUAGUUAAAAUAGGCAGCGGAUAAAAUAAAGAUAGUUAAUGGAAAAUGGAUAGUUGAGCUUAAAGCAAGACAGAACCCUUAAUAAAGAUUAAUGACCCAAAUUGUAUAAGUUUUAAGAUGAUAAAAUGAUUUGUUGAAAAUGGACCGUGACCUACUAUCUAGCGAGAUACGAACCAACGGUAUCAAGUUUGAACGCCACACUCGGAGGAGUGAUAAGUUCAAUAAAAAGGUUGACGCCACUGGCUUAGCUACAUAAGUUAAGUUGAAUCUUCAAGAAAAAACAAAAGUGAAUAACUCACCAAGUUAUAUUUCAUAUAUGUCAAAAAGUUCAAAGUUUUCUUCAAAAGGUUUACAAUUGUGCUAUUUAUAAGCUAACAAUCAACCAGCCGAAUGGACAGGAAUUAAAUGAAGCUAAAGGAAUUUAAUUGCCAACUAAAACAAAUUGAUGAAUUUAACUAAGUAUGGUGCCGAAAUAGCAUUGGUUCAUAGUGUUGAUGGAUGAGCUAAAUGAAGUUGGAUUUGGUGAAUGGAGGUAAUGUCAAAAAGGUGCACCGAAUGAGAAAUAGCUGGUGAAUGUACUUGCUUCCAGUUGAAUGGUCUUUGAGGUGUGAACACUCGGGUUUCUGAAUGUGAACAGCAAGAAACAAUGAACGCUUGAAGAGGUAGCAUUUUAAGCUCAUACUCAUUGGCUUAGGUACAUGAAUAAUUCGGCUGGAGAAUGCACCUAGUAGCUCCCUUGAUACAUGCACAAUUGGGUGCAUGAUCCUUCUUUAACUAAUUUCAAUGUAUCGAUUAGAUACAUGCAUGUUCGGCUAAAUAAUAGCUCCCUUGUUUAUGCACAAUUCAUGUACAUUGCUCAUCAUUUAAUAUCUUCAAUGUAUCAACUAUGUUCAUGAACUUCUAGCUCAAAAUCAUCUCCCAAAAUUCAUACUUAAUUCAGGUGCAUGUGCCACAUUGAAUGAGCUUCAUUGAAUCAACUUGUGCAUGAAUUUUCCAUUUGUAUGCUUUAAAUCUAUUAAGACAAAUUAAAACAACUUAAAAUAAAAUAAACACACAAUUAAAAAUGUAAUGGACUAAAACAUAUUUAAUAACUGUAAUUCAAGCUGUAAUAAACUCAAACAUAAUUUAAUGACCUGAAAUAAUUAAAAUGUCCAAAGUCUAGCUAGCUAAGUGAGCUAGCUGAUUCAAAUUCAGCUCCCAGCAAAUUGAGAUUGCUUCUUGUUGGUUCGUCCAGCUCCUUUGGAGCUUUCUCCCAAGCUUGUUCAACUAGAACCGAUAAGGACUCUGUAAAACAUUUAGCUCGAGCUCGAGUAAUUGGUCCAACAGGGAGCUUGAGGGAAUCUCGUUUGGGGUUGGCUAGCUCUAUAGGCUGGUUCGCAUCAGUUCCAACAAUAAGUACAAGGGCUUUUCAAUUUUUGAAAAAUAUCUAAUAAACCUUUGAUAAAACCUUGCAUGUCCAAGAAAACUACAAAUACCCUUCACGUUUGUUGGUGGAGGUAAUUUCUCAAUGAUUUCCACUUUAGCUUUGUCUACUUGAAUGCCUUAACUGGAGAUGCAAUGGUUUAACACAAUGCCAUCGGUUUCCAUGAAAUGACAUUUUUCCCAAUUCAGGACAAGAUGUGUGUCCUCACAUCGCUUCAAUACUUUAUCCAAAUUGUCAGUGCAAUGAUCAAAAUCAUUCCCACAGACUAAAAAAUCAUCCAUAAAAAAUUUUAAAUAGUCUUUGAUCAUAUUUGAGAAUAUUGCCAUCAUGCAACUUUGAAAUGUGGCUGGUGAAUUGCAAAGACCAAAAGGCAUAUGGAGAAAAGCGAAAGUACCAAAGGGUCAGGUGAAGGUUGUUUUCUCUUGAUCCUCCGGUGCAAUAGCAAUUUGAUUGUAUCCAAAAUAGUUCUCUAAAAAGCAAUAAUAGGCCUUUCUAGCAAGCCGAUCCAACAUUUGGUCAAUGAAAGGAAGUGGGAAGUGAUCCUUCUUUGUGAUCGCAUUCAAAAUUGAGUAAGUUGAAACCUUUUCAAGAAAUACAAGUUAAAGAAAGAAGAGAUUUAGGCUCGAAUAGGUUCAAUGAGGUUAUAGAAUGAUUCAGGAAAUGAUGAAUGGAAUUUGGCUAAGGAUUUAAGACCGAACUAACACAAUAAAGAUGUGUUAACCCGAGACUUUUGUGAAUACUUAGGUUGGGAAAGUGUCAGAUGGAUGGUAAAGUAGGUGAAUAAGACCUCGACCCGCUAUCAAUGAUGAUAGGAACGGUAUAACUUGAACACCACACUUUGGGUAUAAAGUAAUAAGUUUAGAAUAACAAAGACGGGUUGACGCCACAAGAGUUACUUGAUAAGUCAGACAAGUCUUUGGAGAACAAUGAGAGUUGAAAAUAAACUCACAAAGUAAAUAACAUUCAUAAAAGGUUCAAAAGUCCUUUACAAUGAAAUGAAAGAAAUAUUUAUAGUCACACUAUAGGCUAGUUGCAUAGUCCUUAAGCAGCUAAAAGGUUUGAUAUGAGUCACAAAGGCCCAACCCAAGUGCAAGAACAUGAUGGGCUCAAAUUACCACAAGCCUGAUAUGAGCUCGUUUCGUAUGAAAUAACGACUCGUAAUAUUUCCCGAUCGAAAUUAGGUAGUGUCGGCCUUGAAAUAAAUUCAAGUCUUGGUGUUUAAAAUUAAAUGGCUUUGGGAAACAAGGGAGUUUGAUGGAGUGUUGUUUGCUGGAUAUUUCAAUGAAAACAAGUCGAACCCUUAUUAGCAAAUAAGGACCCGGGGCUUAAGGUUUCAAAGAAAGAAAGGAUUUGGGAUAAAACUGAGACCCUCUAUUUAGCAAAAUAGGAACCUACGGUAUGAAGAACGCCACACCAAUGGUGAUAAGUUCGAAACAAAGUCAGAUUGACGCCACUUGUUGAAGAUAAGUCAAUUUGAGCUUUGGAGAAUAAAGAGAGUGAAUUGCCUCACUAAAAUGAUAUUUCAUUCAGAAAUUUGUCAAAAGUCCUUUUACAAGAAAUUGAGCAACUAUUUAUAGUCUAAUGUCUAGUAGCCGAAUGGACAUAUUCUAGACUUAAUUUCUAAGCAAAAAUUGAACAAAAAUUCAGCUUAAAUUCAUGUAUAUGCUUGCAUCAAGGUUCGGCUGAAUGGAGACCAAGGAAGAGCUUUCAAUGAACUUGGAAAAAUGGCAGCAGCUACAUUCGGCCAAUGGAGUUUAAUGAGGUCAUUCAUGAAGCAACUAUUGAUGAAAAAUUACCAGCAUUAAUUGGCAACUUGAACAGCCAUUUAGAAAUGUGAAUGGACGGUUUUGAAGAGCCUUGAAGUGUGAACAUGGCUGAACCGAAUAGACAUAGUGUGAACAGAUUUUAUACGCCCUUGGGAAGAGAAUCGGCCAAGCUUGAAAGGAUGAAAAGCUUGAUCACUCUUGGCCGAAUAGUUGCCUUAAAGAACACCAAAAUUAAUCAGCUUUUAAUGCAUUAGUUCAGCUGCACAUGCAUCUUCAAAUUCAUUGAAUCUCCAUGCAUGAAUCUGCCCAAUUCAUCUCCAAAUUCGGCUGCACCUAAAAAUAAACAUGAACUUAAUUAAUUUCAAGCAAAUUCAUCUGAACUAAAUUAAAAUAUAAUGUGAACAUCCUAAAUAACAUUGAGACAACUUAAAUAUUAACAAAUCAUAACACAUAAAUUCGGCUAGACAAAUUUAAAACAUGUAAUAAUUUAGACAAACUAAAUGACAUCAAGACAUCUUUAAUUUAACUAAAUCAAGACAUAUUAAACACUUAAAUUAAUUAAGACAUAUUUAAAAGCUGUAAUGAAACUUAUUUAAAUGUUUAUUUAAAUUGUCUAAAUUCCAGCAUCAAAUUAAUUAGCUAGAAUGAAAUUCAGCUUCAAAGAAGUUGAAUAUGUUCAGCUCGUUUUUAAACUCCUUGCUAUCAUUUUCCUCAACCCGUUCCACCAUUGCUAAAAUAGCAUCUUUGAAUCGUUUAGCUCUAGCUCGCGUUAUUGGACCAAUGGGCAGCUUGAUGGCUUCUUGUUCGUUCUCCAUUUGGUUCGUAGGCAAGCUCACAUCAAGGCCCAAUAACGAGGUCAAAGGCCCGACAAAUUUGUUCCAAAUUAAAUGGGACCAUUCAGGAAUUUGUUAGCAAGGCCUUAGAUGCGUACAUGAAAGAAAGAGAAAAUCAAGAUUAGCUUUCUUCUUUUCAAGAAAAUCAAGAAACCGAAUCUUGGCCCAAUCUUGCUGUUUGGAGCGAUUUCAAGAAUCAAGAAAAUCAUGAUUUCAAAUCUUGGAAAUCUUGGUCCAAGAAACCGAAUCUUGCAACCAAAGCGCAUUGGAUCUCCAUUACGAGCAUCAACGAACCAAUUUCGGUAGGAGAUGGACUACAAGCCCAAGUUCUUGAAGGCAAGGCCCGAUAAGAGGAUUCCAAGCCCAACCAAGAAGUCAAACCAUACUUAGUUGAAAAUCAGGCUAAAUUGUUAAAGUGGCCCAAUUUGUAAAAAUUUUAAUUGUUUAAUUUAAUUUUUAGACUUUAGGAAUAUUAUAUGUAAAAAUUCGGCCCAAGCAGCCCAUUAAAAUGACUUGGCCGAAUUUCCCUUUUAAAUUUGUUAAUUAGGUUUUUUUUUAAUUUUUCCUAAUGAGAUUAGGAAAUAGUUAUAAGGCCUAUUUAUAGGCAUGGCCGGCCACCCUUGUUACACACAUUACAAUUACAUUGAAAAUUUCAGAUUUGCUUUGAGUGAAAAUUCUCUUUGAGUUCUUCAAGAAUUUUCUCUUGAGUUUUCUUUAGAAGUAGUUUUAACAAUCUUUUUGAUUGGGGGAGCCAUCUUUAGCCUUCUUCUUGCCAUUGUUCUUCAUUGGAGGGGAGAUUCGAGCUGUUUGAAGGGAGUUGUGAAAUCUUUAUCGAUUUCAAGGCUUCUUAGGACUUUUCUUUAUUCUUUUGCUAUUCAUUCUUCUUUAUUAAAUUCUGCUUGUGCCGUUUUGUUGAAUAAUUUGGGUUUAAUUGUUCUUUUUUUGUUUCAACCAUUCCAAACUUCAAGAUCUGAUUCGGCACUUCCUUGGACAUAAAGAUACGUUUUUGAUUCAGAAAAAUUCCCCUUUUCUUGCCGUCCAACCCCUAGAACUGAUGUCCAUUGAUUUCACAAUUUGUUUUUAAUUUAGUUGCUAUUUUGUGUUCUUUGAUAGUUUCGGCUGAUUAGAAGUUAUUCUUGGGGCUUAAUUUCAUGUUCUUGUCUUCCAAAAACAUCUAUUCAUAAGUGUUUUGAUUAUUGGCUGUUCUUUAUUGCUUUGGAGAUUUUUAGUUUCCAGAUCUAAUUGAUUCUAAUUAAGUUUUGCUGUUUCGUUUUAGAUCCAAACGUUUAGAGCUUUCGUAGGAGUUUCCGUGACUUGACAACUCAAUCUUGGUCCGCGCGCAACCCUCUAUCAUUUGGUAUCAGAUUUUGGGCGUUUUGGGUGUUCUUGGUUGAUUUCUAAACUGAUCUCUAUUUUUUAAAUUACAAAGAGCAGUUUUACCCAAAAAAAGUUUUCGAAAAAAAUCUUUUGAGUGGCUAAACAUUGUCUGAUUGAUCUGAAAUUUUACAUACAUAUUUUUGGCACUCUGGUUGUAUAUUAAAAAAUAUUUCCCGCAAAAAAGUCAGUCGAAAAAGUCAAAAAAAUUGAAAAAUACGAAAUCCAUUAAAAAUUUAAAAAAAGAUUCAGCAGGUUGAGUUUGGUGCCCCAACUUUGCAAAUCAAAAAUUAAAUAUGUAAGGACAUUCCAAAUUUAAUUUCAUGAUUUUUGGAGAUCGGGAACACCUCAAACGAAGUUGUCAAGUUACUCCACAGUUUUUCAGGUUUUUCGAUUUUAGCAAUUUUUAUUAAUUCUUAGCUGAAGGUUUUCAGUUGUUUGACUUUAUUAUUCCUUUAUACUAUCUAACACAUUCUUAUUUCUUGUGUUAGUAGGAUUUUAAGGUGUGCACAAUUCUUCCUCGGUGCGACACAAAUCUAUUGGUGUCUCGUCAGUUUUGGCAUCCUAGUGCAAAUUAGAAUUCUUUUGUAGUUUCGGUUCAUACACUUUCUAAUUGGUUAAUAUAGACUCUACUAAAGAACUUACAAGACUGAAUUCUACCUCAUUGAGAAUUUGAUUUUUCUUUUUGAGUGAUUAACGGUGAGGUUUGCUAAUUUUCCUUUUUGAGUGUUGAGUGUUGGUUUUGCAGGUUUUUGAAAAAAGAAAAAAAAAUGUCGAGAGUUGGUGAUGACCAUAAUAAUGUCCAUGAUAAAUUUAAAAAGAUCCAACAACUGUUAGACGAAUGGGCUGCCUUACUUCAAACUUUGAGUGCUACUAUCAAUGAGGUGCGAUUGAAUCAAGAGCCUCAAUAUCGAGAUCCAAUUAAAGAUGAUGUGGAUAACCAUCCUCGAGCUCAUAGGCACUCUCCUAGACAUGUCCCUAGAACUGAUUAUGACGUUUAUGAUAGCGGACAACCCUCUUUGGCAAAACCAAAGCGUGAGCAGCAACGAGAACAUCUCUUUCAUACUCGCUGCCAUGUACAAGGUAAGUUUUGUAAAGUUAUUAUUGAUGGUGAAAGUUGCUCGAACGUAGCCAGCACGACGAUGGUAGAAAAGCUUUGCUUAACCACUACCAAGCAUCCACAACCUUAUCAACUACAAGGGCUUAGCAACGAAGGCCAAUUUAAGGUCACUCAACAAGUGCGCAUCGCCUUUUCUAUCGGCAAGUAUUAAGACGAAGUCGUGUGCAACGUAGUACCUAUUCAAGCCUUCCAUUUGUUGUUAGGAGAACCAUGGCAAAGGGAUCGAAAGGUCACCCACGACGGUCGUACCAAUAGGUAUUCUUUCAAGCAUCAAGGAAGGAAAGUCACCUUAGUGCCGCUCACUCCGGAACAAGUCCAUGAGGACCAAAUCAAACUGAAAAAUUCUGUUGUUAAAACAAGUGAUGAAAAAGAAAAAGGAGAAGAGAAAAAUAAAAGUGAAAAGAAGAAAAUGAAAAUGAAAAAGGCGAAAAGGAAAGUGAGAGAGAAACAAAAGAAAAUGUGAAUGAAGUGAGUGAAAAAGAGAGAGAGCUUAAACAAGUAAUGAGUGAAGAAGAAGAGAAUGCUCAAACACAAUGGAGGAAUAUUUUUGCUAACCCCUAUUCGAAAUCGCCUUGUGAUUUCUCUUUGUUUCAGGUUUGCAAGUUUCUACCCAUGGACAUGUUCCAGCUUCAUUACCAUUCUACUGAGAGAUUUUUUCAAUUGAUUGAACAAGGUAAAACUGAUCCUCGUUUUCCCACCUCUAAUGGUAAGCAAGGUGAAGUUUCUCUAUUCUCUCAACAACUUCAUUCAACUAGUAUUGAUGACUUUGCUCAUGACUUAAAUUUUGAAAAGGUACUGUAUGUUAUUGUCGAUAAUUGCCAUUCUUGGAUUGAUGACAUUUUAAGUUACUCAACAACAUUAAAUGAUCAUGUUUUCCAUGUUAGAACGGUUUUAGACAUUCUAAGAGCUGAAAAAUUGUUUGCCAACCUUGAUAAAUGCACAUUUUGUUGUGAUAAGCAAAUAUUUUUAGGUUUCAUAAUUAGUGCUCAAGGUAUUCAUGUCGAUGAGGAUAAAGUUAAGGCAAUCAAGGAGUGGCCAACUCCUAAAUCGAUAAUUGAGGUGAGAUCUUUCCAUGCUUUAUCUAGUUUUUAUAGAUGAUUUGUGAAAGAUUUCUCCACUAUUGCUGAGUUGGAGAAAUCCUUACACGAGAAGGCUAGGCAGCGAAUAGCCAAAACAAAUGACAUUAACACCAACAAACCAAACAAGAGGCGCAAACGGGUUGUCUUUAAACCCAGAGAUUGAGUUUGGGUCCAUAUGAGGAAAGAACAAUUUCCUACAAAAAGAAAGACUAAGUUGGACCCAAGGGGCGAUGGGCCUUUCCAAGUACUCGAGCGGAUCAACGACAAUGCCUAUAAAAUUGAUCAACCUGGUGAGUACAAUGUAAGUUCUACUUUUAAUGCGGCUGACUUGUCCCCAUUUGAUUUUUCAGACUCGAGGACGAAUCUUUUUGAGGAAGGGGGAAUGAUACGAGUCACAAAGGCCCAACCCAAGCUCAAGAAUGUGAUGGGCUCAAAUUACCACAAGGCCCAAUAACGAGGUCAAAGGCCCGACAAAUGCAUUCCAAACUAAAUGGGACCAUUCAGGAAUUUGUUAGCAAUGCCUUAGAUGCGUACACGAAAGAAAGAGAAAAUGAAGAUUCACUUUCUUCUUUUCAAGAAAAUCAAGAAACCAAAACUUGGCCCAAUCUUGCUGUUUGGAGCAAUUUCAAGAAUCAAGAAAAUCAAGAUUCCAAAUCUUGGAAAUCUUGGUNNNNNNNNNNNNNNNNNNNNNNNNNNNNNNNNNNNNNNNNNNNNNNNNNNNNNNNNNNNNNNNNNNNNNNNNNNNNNNNNNNNNNNNNNNNNNNNNNNNNNNNNNNNNNNNNNNNNNNNNNNNNNNNNNNNNNNNNNNNNNNNNNNNNNNNNNNNNNNNNNNNNNNNNNNNNNNNNNNNNNNNNNNNNNNNNNNNNNNNNNNNNNNNNNNNNNNNNNNNNNNNNNNNNNNNNNNNNNNNNNNNNNNNNNNNNNNNNNNNNNNNNNNNNNNNNNNNNNNNNNNNNNNNNNNNNNNNNNNNNNNNNNNNNNNNNNNNNNNNNNNNNNNNNNNNNNNNNNNNNNNNNNNNNNNNNNNNNNNNNNNNNNNNNNNNNNNNNNNNNNNNNNNNNNNNNNNNNNNNNNNNNNNNNNNNNNNNNNNNNNNNNNNNNNNNNNNNNNNNNNNNNNNNNNNNNNNNNNNNNNNNNNNNNNNNNNNNNNNNNNNNNNNNNNNNNNNNNNNNNAAACGUGUGCCAAUUCUUCCUCGGUGCACACGAAUCAAUUGGUGUCUCGUCAGUUUUUAGCAUCCUAGUGCAAAUUAGGAUUCUUUGGUAGUUUGGUUCACACUCUCUAAUUGGUUGAUAUAAAUUCUGAUAAAGAACUCAAAGAUUGAAUUCGACCUCAUUGAGAUUUGAUUUUUCUUUUGAGUGAUUAAUGGUGAGGUUUGCUAACUUUUAUUUUUGAGUGUUGAGUUUUAUUUUUACAGGUUUUGAAGAUGUCUAAAGGUGAUAAUAAUGAUGCACUUAUGAAAGUCCAACACAGUUAGACAGACAUACUGCUGCAAUCACACAAAUAAAUGCUACACUCAACAUUGAAUACUACUUUGAAUAGGUACGAGUGAAUCAAAAUAUCAAUAUCGAGAUCCAAUUAAGGAAGAUAGGGAUAACCACCCCAUAGGUGCAACCCUCACGUGUCCCUAGAAUGGAUGAUGAUUGUCAUGAUCUUGGACAAUCAUCUUUGGCAAAACCAAAGAGCGAGCAGCAACGAGAACAUCUCUUUCAUACUCGCUGCCACGUACAAGGUAAGCUUUGUAGAGUUAUUAUUGAUGGGUGAAAGUUGCUCGAACAUAGCCAGCACGACGAUGUGGAAAAGCUUUGCUUAACCACAUACCAAGCAUCCACAACCGUAUCAACUACAAGGGCUUAGCAACGAAGGCCAUUUAGGGUCACUCAACAAGUGCGCAUCGCCUUUUCUAAUCGGUAAGUAUCAAGACGAAGUUGUGUGCGACGUAAUGCCCUAUUCAAGCCUGCCAUUUGUUGCUAGGAGAACAGUGGCAACUGGAUCGAAAAGUCACUCACGAUGGUCGUACCAAUAGGUAUUCUUGUCAAGCAUCAAGGAAAGAAACUCACCUUAGUGCCGCUCACUCUGGAACAAGCCCAUGAGGACCAAAUCAAACUGAAAAAUUCUGUUAAAACAAGUGAGGAAAAAGAAAAAGAGAAUGAAAAAGAGCAAAAAGAGAUUGAGAGUGAAAAAGAAAUUGAAGAAAGAAGAGAAAAUGAAUUAGAAAUAGAAACAAAGAAAAAGACGUGGAAAGGGUAGUGAGGAAUGUUUCCACUAACACAUCUCUGAAUUUUUCUUUUUCUACUUUUCAGGUUCCCGAAAUAUCAAAGAUAACUUUCACUUCAAUACCUCUCAAAUGAAGACCGCUUUCAUACGAUCCACUUAAGCAAAGAUGAAAUCACACUACAUGAUCCCGAAGGUAAGCGAGGUAAGGAAAUUUUAGAACCGAGUCCAGUGCAGAUUUGAAAAUUAUUGAUAAAACUUUUGGUGACUUAGUUCUUAAAAGAUCCCCUCAUUUUGAUCCGAUUAAUUGUUACUCUUCGAUUGUGGUUGAUAAAGUCAUUACGAAAAGAAGCGUGAUUUGUUAUUCUCUUGAUUUACCUUGUGUAAAAUCCUUGAAUUUGUCCAAAUCUGUUUUGGAGAAUAAGGUAACGAAAUUUUCAAAAUUUGUUUUCAAUUUAUAUUCGUGCCUUAAACAGUUUAUGUGGUUGUACAUGAAGUUUGAGUUCCAUUUGACAAACGUUAACUCAACAACGAAGAUUCGACUACACUAUGCCCCCGAUGAGCGAAGGUUUGUUUUAAAUGAAAAAGGUAAAAUCGACCCUUAUUCUUCUGCUUAUCGAGGUAAGAUGCUUGAAACCUUUGAAACACUUUUGUACUCCUCGGAUAGUGAUAAAGAUCGUGUUGAUGAACACUUAGAUUGAAACGUGCUUGACUGUCCUAUUUUAUUUAUUGAUGAUCUAUCUGUUUUGAUAGUUGAUAAAAAGAUUCUUGUUUUUGAUAAUGCAUGUGUGAGUGAAUCUAUAGACCGUCGAUUAAUGCAUGGUAUGAUUAUGCAACUCUGUGAACCAUGUGAAUCUUUUCAAAUACCUA